rnacentral:rRNA from 1 species
AUCCAGGCCCUACGGGGUGCAGCAGGCGCGAAAACUUUACAAUGCCGGCAACGGCGAUAAGGGGACCUCGAGUGCCAGGUUACAAAUCUGGCUGUCGUGAUGCCUAAAAAGCAUUGCAUAGCAAGGGCCGGGCAAGACCGGUGCCCAGCCGCCGCGGUAACACCGGCGGCUCGAGUGGUAACCGUUAUUAUUGGGUCUAAAGGGUCUGUAGCCGGCCGGAUAAGUCUUUUGAGAAAUCCAGCAGCUCAACUGUUGGGGGGCUUUCAGGAGAUACUGUUCGGCUCGAGGCCGGGAGAGGUGAGAGGUACUUCAGGGGUAGGGGUGAAAUCUUGUAAUCCUUGAAGGACCACCAGUGGCGAAGGCGUCUCACCAGAACGGACCCGACGGCAAGGGACGAAAGCUAGGGGCACGAACCGGAUUAGAUACCCGGGUAGUCCUAGCCGUAAACGAUACUCGCUAGGUGUCGGCCACGGUGCGACCGUUGUCGGUGCCGUAGGGAAGCCGUGAAGCGAG